CAGCAGCAACAACAAACUUUCAGAAACCUAUACUUCUGUGGUGAGGAAUUGUCAAAGUACAAAUUUUACUUUUCUUGAAGAUAGAAAUCUUGUAAUAGUUAUCUCACAUGUUUUCAGUUUGUGUGAAGGAUUUCUCUUUGAAUAACAUUUUCUUAGCACAGUGGUGAAAAUGGCAUGGAAAUAUAGUCAGAAUUGUGACUGCAACGUAAUGGUUGCUUCUUUUGAUGUUGAUAUAAGUUCACCAUUCUUUCAAACAGUGGCCUUGAUUUCAUGUGGCCUCCUUUGACUUUUUAGCUCAAGGUUUAAGAUUUGACUCAUUGAAAUCAAAGCGCCACAAUGCUCUGAAGGAAGGUUUGUAUACAGAGGACUUGGCCAAACUUGUUUAUCAUGAUCUGUAGCACUUAAGUCUUAACAUUUUUGCCAUUACUGUAUUAUAUAACUGAAAGCCUGUGGUAGAAGAAGUGGAAUGAUAGAAUAUGAGGUUCACUUCAUUGUCUGUGGAUCAAGUACUUCACCUUCCCACCCAGGAAAAAUAAAAGAAGACUUUGGUGUAACAGUGUACUUAUGUCACUUCUUUUAUUUAAGGUAAAACAUUCAGUAGUCCUGUUUGAAAAGAAUUUUCAUAAUACCUUAAUUAGUGAUUAUUAAUGAGGUGAUUCAUUUUUUAAGUUUUUAAGAUUUUCUCAGCUCUGUGAUUCCACAAUAAUAUCCUCCAUUCUUUCAAAUAAAGUAAUUUUUUAUGAUAACUACAUUUUCAGGCACAUUUUCUGAAAUAUAUAUAAUAUGCAUGCCAGUAUAAUAAGUGUCUAUGUACUUUACACCCUACUUCAGCUAUUACCGGUUUAUGAAAAAUCUUAUCUAGCAAAUUACCCCUCUUUCUCCUAGUACCAUCUUGGAGUGAUUAAUACAUAUUAUAUUUUAAACAUAAGUAUUCAGUGUAUAGUUAUAUAAGUUAUAAGCACUUGAGGAAAAGCUACAGUUUUAUUAUGUUUUAAAUUAAUAUUAGUUCUCUAAAUUAAUAUUAGUUCUCUAUAAAUUAAUAUUAGUUCUCUAUUUUCAGUAAGUAUGUAGUCAGGGUUACCACCUCUACUUGUUUUAUAAAUGCUUAUAAAUGUUUCAACAUUUUUAUAAUUUUAAUUUAAAUACUUCUCAUGUUUCUUCCUUUUCUUUCUUGAUAUUUUAUUCUAUGAAGAGGCUACUUUGUUUCACAGAUAUCAUUUUCCACAUCUUAAAUUUUUCUGAUGACUAUGUCACAGUUGUGUCAAGUUCAUUUUUUGUUUCCUUGAACAAAUCCUUGGAUCUAGAGACUGUAUCGUGUUAGAGAAAUGAUUUGGAGGGCAGGAAUGUAUUAUGUUUUCUUAUUGGUUGACAGUGUUAACUUUUCUCUUUGUGAUAAUCACAACAGCAGCUGAUUGAUUCAGUUAAUUAACCUGUGCAUGUUUUUUUUAAUAGAAUGACUAAUAGAGGUGGAAGAAAUGUUUGUUGUCUAUUAUAGUUUAAUAAAAAUAUACAGUGCUAAAAUAUUUUCUUACAUAUUGAGAGAACAAGAAAUAAUAAGUUACCAAAUACAUGCGUUGGCUGUUCUCACCAUUCAUCUUUCUGAUCUUUUUAUUAUGAUGUGUCAUCAUUGUAGUAAUUCCUAGAUAAGACAUUGAAACACAUCAACCACAGUUUGUGUUGGUUAAGUGGCCUUGAAUAAAGUAUUCU